CUUAUGAACAAUGCUCGGACGGUUAUGCCCCUGCCAUAAUAUUUUUUUGUUCUUGUUGCAUGCUGCCCUUCCCUUAUUGCCCUCUUCAAUUUCUUUUUGGUUUUAUCUUUUGUUUUGUCGUCUUUUCCAGCCUUUCUCAGCUUCACUGUAUUUUGCUCCUUUUUUUUCUCUCUCCUCAUCUCCUCUCAAUCUCUCUCCUCAAUCUAUCAAGGUAAUCCUCUUCACUCAACCUCUCUCUUCUCGAAUUCUAGGCCAGGUUCUUCAUUUUGAACGCUAAUCCUAUCCCCAUAAUUCUUUGGUUGUUUAAUUUGGUGAUAUUGAUGGAUUUAGGGUUUAUUUCUUUGACAGGAGAACCCAUCUUUCUCUCUCCUUUUUUAAAACCCACAAACUCCAUUUUCAUCCAACUCAUUCCCAACACUGAGUCGUGCACUGAUUCACCAAACCCAAUCAACAAAAGCCUAUGAUCGCCGGAAAAUGGCCACAGCAUCACCAACAUCUCCACCGUCUCAUCAUCCACGAAUUUCAAGUAUAUCGCUUUGUUCGUCAAUCCCGAGGAACGCCUUCAUCUUGAGCAUGCCCAGAAACAUGGUCAUUGAUCUUCCUCCUUUUUCAGGAGGGAGAAACAGAAAGCUGAGCCCGAAUAUUGAGGAGAGAGGGAGUUCGCUGGAAAUGGCUAGGGAGGAAUUUGAGUAAGCUUUUAAUCAAAAACAAGAAGAAAGAGAAUCAUUAAAUGGUAGCUUCUAGUGCCAGAGCUUUCUUUGUUAGAAUUCCUUGACCUAAAUCAUUUACAAAUUUGCAUACUUUUCUUUACAUACCAAAGCAGUUUCAGGAAACUCAUAUGUUCAAGAUUGAAUUAAAGAAGAUAUUCUUGAUUGAGUUGUCAAUGUUUGUGCCAAGGUGAUUGAUGAUCUAAAUCUAGGGUUCAUCGCCAAUUUACUUGGUGUUUGAGCUCUCCAUUAAGUUCUACUUUGACUUGGGGUUUGAGUUUUCCAUCAUGAAUCUCAUCUGGAUCAGAAGAAAAUAUAAGGGACCAUGCCUCACUAAUCACUAUCGACCUCACCCAAAUCGACUUGGACUCUGUUGAGGUUCACUGGAGCAAAGGCCACAAACCACUACCUCCACUUCAUCCCCUCUUAAUUAAGGGCAGAAACCUCUACAGAUUGAACACAUUGAGGCGGAGAUGGGAAGAUGAACCAGAAAGACAGCGGGUUUUGAGCAAAAAGCAUUGCAGGGGCUCCCUUGCCCGAUCAAGUAGAGAAGCCCGAAUUCAGGGAAAGAUAGCAAAGAAGAUGCUCAAAGGAGCCAAGGUUUGUCCUAAAGAAAGACAACAUAUAUGUCAAGAGAAGAACCAUAGGCUUGCAACAGGUCCCAUCUCCAACAAUUCGUUUUUGGUGUUGAUGCUGCUGUUAAGGUUAUGCUCGAUGUCGCGCUUUCUUUUUCUUAUAUUUUGUCUCUCACUCGGAGGCUAAGGUCCGCUCUUGUUACAUUUGUCAUGUCAAAGAUCAAAGAAAUAGCUGAGAGGGACGGCACUCCUUUGAUGGCUGAUGGUAAACUUAUAGUUGUGAAUGAGCAACAGGUGGAGAAGUUUCUUUACACUGCCUUGAAAUUGCUAAGAUACUCAAGAAUGACCGUUGUGGUACUUGUUAGCUUACCGCCACCACCUCCAUCACCCAUCUAUAUUUUAUAUGGAAUACUUGGAUCUUUUGGUGGAAAACAUUCCGAGGCUUUUAAUUGUAAGAGGAUACAAGAAAGAUGUGGUCACGUUGUUUACAUAACUUAGCCCCCAAUUUUUGCUACGGGGAUAAACAUGGUGUACUCAAGGACCAAAAAAUUUAAAACUACCUAUUUGUUCAUACCUUCUGUUUUGACAAUUCAUUGUAUCUUUACAAUUUUGUCAAUCAUUCUUUUUGCAAGUGUAAGUUUAGGAAGCCUCUUUAUUUA